rnacentral:lncRNA from 1 species
UGUUAACAGUGGGCAUCCUGGUGGAGGAAAUUUAAUUUGACUGUUUUGCUUAUUGAUAUUUUUCACAGCAGAUCAUGUGUGUGAAGAUUCUGCAGUCCAACCUGCAGGGCAGCUGGUACAGCCUAGAUCACUCUGCCAUCGUAUGAGACUGAAACUGAUGGUGGGUGAUGUGACUAGGCACUCGCUUGGGCUGCAGAAAGGUGUAUUUACCUGUAUGGAGAAGGGACAGGACAGACAUACCUGACAAUUGAGACAGGUGGAUAGAGUGGCAGGAUGUUCAGGAGCUUGAGAACUGGGCAGCUAUCCUGAGGGAAACAUUCGUGCAGAGAAUCAACGGUUGCUAUGGAAGGAGAAAAACAGAGACCUGCACCAAGAUCAGGGGGAACUUACGCAGUUGGAGACAGCAGAAAGAAUGGGAGACACUGCUUCUUGAGAGGCUCUCCAGAGUCAACAGCUGGUGAAUGACUAUGGAACAAGCACCCAAGGACACAGUCCCAUGGAGCAGAAGCUGAUGGUGUGCCAUGCAGAAAGAGACUUGAUCAAGUCCCCAAAGUGUCCCUUGUGAGACUCAAUUACUUACUGUCAGGACUGGCCUGAGAGUGACCUGGGAUAAAACUUGAUGCUGUUUGAAGACAGCACACUACUGACAAUGGCUUGCCUUCUGCAAACAAGAAUCUCAAGCCAUAAAGGAAUUUAGGAUGGACCCGAAGUCUUCUGGCACCAGUUGCAUCUAUGCACCUGUGCUAAUUGUCUGUGUAGCUUUGACCUCAAACAUUUCAUCCAGACUCUUCAAACUGUGACCUCAAAACUGUAUAUAUACUUCGACUCCAGAUAGCUGCUGUGAUAUCACUGAUGUCAGCCUGCCUGUAUGUAGGUGAAUAAAAUCUGAUCUUUUCCACAGCCUCGGUCUCCAUGUGUUGCCUCAUGCCACUAUUACCUAACAUAUAGUACCAUGACUUGGAUGUGAUAUGGAAUUCCUCUUGAAAGAAUUUCCUAUACCCUAUCUCAAGCCUUUUCCACUGAGGUCAUCUGAUGACACCGAGUCUUGACCUUGCUCCAAUGCUUCAAGCAGCUCCCCAGGUCAUGCUAUGCUGACUGCUUCAGUCUGGGUAAGCUUGCCUUCCUUUCCAGACUUCUACCAGUCCCUAUGCCUUUAAGAUCCCCCCUACU